rnacentral:rRNA from 1 species
UUGACCCAGAUCAGGUAGGGCUACCGCCUGAACUUAAGCAUAUCAAUAAGGCGAGGAACAGAAACCAACAGGGAUUCCCCUAGUAGUGGCGAAUGAAGCGGGAAAAGCUCAAGUUUGAAAUCUGGGGCUUGCUCCAGAGUUGUAAGCUGAAGAGGCGUCGACCGACGCGGCCCGGGCUCAAUUUCCUUGGAACAGGAGGUCAUGGAGGGUGAGAACCCCGUCUGUGGCUUGGGUACCGUCGUCCUUGUGUCGUGUCCUCGAAGAGUCGGGUUGUUUGGGAAUGCAGCUCAAAAUGGGUGGUAAAUUUCAUCUAAGGCUAAAUAUUGGUGAGAGACCGAUAGCAAACAAGUAGAGUGAUCGAAAGAUGAAAAGUACUUUGAAAAGAGAGUGAAACAGUACGUGAAAUUGUUGAAAGGGAAGCGUUUGGCAUCAGCCCAUGGCCUCCGUCGAUCAUCCGGGCUUCUGUCCGGUGCACUUGUCGGGGGUCGGGCCAGCGUCGGCUUUGCCCGCCGGAGAAAGGCCUUGGGAAUGUGGCUCCCUCGGGAGUGUUAUAGCCCUCGGUGUCAUGCGGCGUGGUGGGGCCGAGGUCC